UUAUAGAAAGGGACAACAUGAAACACACAACAUGUCUUAACGUGUUUCCCCACCAAUCCUCCACCAUCACCGCCACCACCACCUCCACCACCACCAUCAUCAUCACCCACUCUCUCUUUCUCUCUCUCUCUCUGUCUGUGAUACAUAAGCAGUCCAGUGACAGUUGAUUCCGUGAUGGGUAAAGUCCUUAUCUAAUGAAAGCUUAGCAAACCCAAUGAAAUCAUUCUAAAAAAGUAAUCACUAUAUAUACUUCUCCACAUAUAUUAUCAUAUCCCACCACCACUAUUACUGUACUUAUAAAAACCACACUACCUCUUCUUUUCUUUUCUUUUCUUUAAUGAUAGGGUUCAUAUUCAGUUCAACCAUGAAACCUGUUCAACGAUCACACUUCCACCAAUUAAAACCAAAGCUUAUCAAUAUUUUUUUCCCUUAUAUUAUUAUAAUUAUAAUUUUUUUUAUAAUUCUAUGUUCAAGUAUAAUUUGCACGUGAAUCCCCAAUAAUUUCUCAUGCAACAGUGGGUCCUUUAGCCAGCCCUUCCUCUUUUGUUCUCUUGCCAAAGUCCAACUCUCAAGAAUCUCCCCUUCUCUUCUCUUCUUUCUCUCCCACACAUACCCCAGAUUUUUUUCUUCUUCCUUCUUUCUUCUUUUUUUUUUUUCUUUUACAUUGAUACAUUUCAUAAUUUUCUUGAGCAAUAUCAACAAUGGUGGAAGAAAAACAAAAGCCUACUUUGCCACUGAGACACUAUUACUACACUCUUCUUUCUCUUCUUGUUUUUCUUCUUACUGUUGUUAAUGGCGGUGCUCAAUCUUUACAAGAAAAGAAAGUCCUCAGCCUGCAAGAAUAUCAAUGGCAACUGAAGAGUAAUACUGAUACUAAUUCAAGUUGUCUUUCCCAGAAAUCAAAACGGGAGAAGGGUGCAACCAUAUUGGAAAUGAAGCACAGAGAUUUCUGCAACUCAUCAGGAAAGAGCACUGAUUGGAACAAGAAGCUACAGAAAAGCUUGAUUCUUGAUGAUUUUCGUGUUCGGUCACUUCAAUCUAGAAUCAAAAGCAUUUUUUCUGGAAAUAACAUAGAUGCUCUUGAUAGUCAAAUUCCGUUAAGUUCUGGGGUGAGACUUCAAACAUUAAACUACAUAGUUACAGUUGAAAUAGGCGGUCGGAACAUGACAGUGAUUGUAGACACUGGAAGUGACUUAACAUGGGUUCAAUGCCAACCUUGUAGACUAUGUUAUAACCAACAAGACCCUCUUUUCAAUCCUUCAGGAUCCCCUUCGUACCAGACAAUUUUAUGUAAUUCUUCAACUUGUCAAUCUCUCCAAUAUGCAACUGGGAAUUUAGGAGUUUGUGGCAGCAAUACACCAACCUGUAAUUAUGUUGUUAACUAUGGUGAUGGGUCUUAUACUCGCGGCGAUUUAGGCAUGGAGCAGCUCAAUUUAGGAACCACUCAUGUCAGCAAUUUCAUUUUUGGCUGUGGCAGGAAUAAUAAAGGUCUCUUUGGAGGAGCUUCAGGUCUUAUGGGAUUGGGGAGGAGUGAUCUUUCAUUGGUCUCUCAAACUUCUGCAAUUUUUGAAGGUGUUUUCUCAUAUUGUUUACCAACUACAGCAGCUGAUGCUUCAGGUUCAUUAAUCCUGGGUGGUAAUUCUUCAGUUUACAAGAACACAACUCCCAUCUCCUACACUAGAAUGAUUGCGAAUCCUCAAUUACCAACAUUCUACUUUCUCAACCUAACCGGUAUUAGUAUUGGUGGAGUAGCUUUACAAGCCCCGAACUACAGACAAAGCGGAAUUCUGAUUGAUUCAGGGACAGUUAUUACCAGGCUCCCUCCUCCUGUUUACAGAGAUCUGAAAGCAGAGUUUCUGAAACAAUUUUCUGGGUUUCCUUCUGCUCCACCUUUCUCAAUCUUAGAUACUUGCUUUAACCUUAACGGCUAUGAUGAAGUUGAUAUUCCUACAAUAAGGAUGCAGUUUGAGGGAAACGCUGAACUGACUGUGGAUGUAACUGGGAUUUUCUAUUUUGUAAAGACUGAUGCAUCUCAGGUCUGUUUGGCUCUUGCCAGUCUCUCUUUUGAUGACGAGAUACCUAUAAUAGGAAAUUAUCAGCAGAGAAACCAAAGGGUUAUCUAUAAUACUAAGGAGUCCAAGCUAGGAUUUGCAGCAGAAGCUUGCAGUUUCAACUGAGAAUAUGAUUCAGAUAGUAUUAGGUGUUGGGUUUGUGAAUAUAUUUUCUUCAAUGCAGUAGCCAAUUUCUUCUGUUGGCAAAGAAAUGAUAGACAUGUAUUUUGUAUCUCAUUGGAAAGAUGAUCAGAUCAAGAGUUCAUGGAAUUUUUCAGUCUUUCAAGAGACUUCAAAUCAAGCACAAUAUUCUGUCAGCUGUACUGCGUAAAAAUGAAAACAGACAGAAAUAUUUUUGUACAAGGAAUCU